CAAUGACACAUUAAAGAAUAUUUCGUUAUUCAUCAAACAAUUUAUUCGAAAAAUUCGAAUCUAAUAAAAUGUUACGUGGUUCAGCUCGGACAGUAUCAUUUGUAUCUGAGCCUGAAGAGGAUGAGACCAUAGGAUAUGACAAGGCCUCUGAGGAUUCAGUUAAGGAAGCCAUCGUUCGAUGGAUCAUCUACAUUUUAACCUAUGCUUUGAUAAUUAUCGGCACUGGAGCUAUAUGGGUGGGACUCGUGUUGAAUGAUAGCUUGGUGCACAUUAGUGCGGAUAAAAUCGGCUAUGGCAGUCAUGUUAUAACACAUAUCUUUAUACUUUGCGGCGUGGCAACCAUUGUCGUUGGCUUUGCAGGUGGUUGCUGGUUCAAUGCUCAUCAGGGUCUUCUGCUAAAAGUGGCAAGUAUUUGGAACAUUUAUCUGUCAUCGAUAAUAUUCUCUAUUCGCAGCACUUUUGCCUCAUUAUAACCACAAUUUUGCUCUAUAUAUUGGUAAUUGUUAUCGUUGUAUUUGCUUCGACUGCUCGAAGGGCCGAUGACUAUCUCAAUGAAUGCUGGGAAGAGUAUGCGAAUAAGAACAGAACAGUCGAUAUGAUGGAGUUACAGAUUCGGUUCUUUUGCUGUGGCAUUAAUGGCAUUAAAGACUACACUGAAGGCGAUUAUGUGCUGAGAAUGUCGUGCUACUUCAACUUUAAUAUGCGUGGGCAGCCAUUUCAACAAACCUGCUCACAUGCGAUCAAAGACUAUUUUAAUCAGAAAAGAAACGAUUGUAUAAUCUUCAAUAGCGUAGUCAUUGUAUUGCUGAUUAUCUACCUCAUUUUGUGCAAAUUGUUGCAUAAAUGGCGAGUGAUUUAUGUAUAAGUAGUCGGAAAAUCAGUCUACGUAAUCCUGUUGAAUACUGUCAAAUAAAUGUUAGGGCUGUCGAAAUAGUUUAGUUUUAAUUUAGAUACUAAUUACAUGAAAAUUAUCACAUUAGAGGUCCUGCUAUGGAUUAACCACAUGCAGUCAGUGGAAUUCGCUUUCGUGGGUAUAUCCUUGAUAAUGGGCGGAUUUUAUCUACCCAUCGAUCAUUCAUACAUGCAGGUGGAACUAGUGUGUUAUUGGACUACUUCCAUACGCAGAAUGUUUGUGGUGUGCGGCAUUGUGCUGAUCCUUGCAGGAGCAUUAGGUGCAUUUUGGUAUCGCAGGCACGUCGAGUUCUUUUAUCUAACACAAAUGCUGUUCAUUGUGCUUGGCAUUAUCUUCACCAUUGUCCUGGCUCUUUUCAUCACAUACAACUGUCACAUCGAGAAGGCGAAGAGAAGAGUGGAAUAUCUUUGGCUGGACACCGAAAAUGAUAAAAACGCAUUCUUCAUGAUGCAACAGCAUCUAAAAUGCUGUGGGAAAUCUGGGCCAGAAGACUACAUUGACAAGGAGCAAUUUCCUGUCUGUCACAAGGAUUUUAAUGCGGAUGACAUUAAAUUUACCAAAGGAUGCAUUGAGGCUGCUGAAGAUUUUUACAACAAGAAAGUGAUGCUCACCAUUGUGGCUAUGGUGGCUAUGAUUGUAGAUGAGUGGUGCGACUUUUCAACACUUUACGCAUGGCUUGCCAACGCAACCAAGAUACAGCCAACUUCGUCUUCAAUGGCAAAAAGAUUGUGGGAGUAGCGCUGAACUACAUGUGCGCUGUCAAGGCCAGGAAAGUGGCUGUGCCCACAGUGCCCCUCGUCUUCCUGAAGCCCACAAGUUCCUAUAUUCGCGAAGGAUCUCCCAUUGUCCUGCCCAAAGUGUUCAACAAGGUGGCCUACGAAGUGGAGCUGGGCG